rnacentral:rRNA from 1 species
UUUAUGGAGAGUUUGAUCCUGGCUCAGGAUGAACGCUGGCGGCGUGCCUAAUACAUGCAAGUCGAGCGAACGGACGAGAAGCUUGCUUCUCUGAUGUUAGCGGCGGACGGGUGAGUAACACGUGGAUAACCUACCUAUAAGACUGGGAUAACUUCGGGAAACCGGAGCUAAUACCGGAUAAUAUUUUAAACCGCAUGGUUCAAAAGUGAAAGACGGUCUUGCUGUCACUUAUAGAUGGAUCCGCGCUGCAUUAGCUAGUUGGUAAGGUAACGGCUUACCAAGGCAACGAUGCAUAGCCGACCUGAGAGGGUGAUCGGCCACACUGGAACUGAGACACGGUCCAGACUCCUACGGGAGGCAGCAGUAGGGAAUCUUCCGCAAUGGGC